CCCCCGCCUCCCCUACACCCUGCGCCCUGCGCCGCCGCCUCCCCUGCACCCUGCACGCUGCGCCCGCACCCGUGGACGACGGUGGAGGCGUAGCAGCACCCGCGGACAACGGCGCUGGCGCUCGCGGCGCACGACGCCUCCGGCCGCGUCUCCCCCAUCCGCAUCUCGCGAAGGAGGAGGACCUGUGGGGGGUACUCGGUGACGAGCAAAGUACCUUUGCCUCCAUCUUCUCGACUAGGACGCAUGUUAGACCCUUUUGCCCUCAUGUUGGACUUGUAGGACUUGUUGGACAUGUAUGUUGGACAUGUAUGCACUUGUUACGCGACGUUAUGUGUAUUUCAGACAUGUAUCGAUGGAUUUGAUGAUGUUCAUGUGUGGAUUCAUGUUGAGAUCGAAUCUGAUGAUGAAAUGCGGUUUAUAUGCUA